rnacentral:rRNA from 1 species
UACGUAGGGUGCGAGCGUUGUCCGGAAUUAUUGGGCGUAAAGGGCUUGUAGGCGGUUUGUCGCGUCUGCUGUGAAAAUCCGGGGCUCAACCCCGGACUUGCAGUGGGUACGGGCAGACUAGAGUGUGGUAGGGGAGACUGGAAUUCCUGGUGUAGCGGUGAAAUGUGUAGAGAUCGGGAGGAACACCGGUGGCGAAGGCGGGUCUCUGGGCAUUUCCUGACGCUGAGGCGCGAAAGCGUGGGGAGCAAACGGG